rnacentral:rRNA from 1 species
ACCCUUUAAUGUUUGAUGUUCUAACGUGGACCCGUGAUCCGGGUUGCGGACAGUGUCUGGUGGGUAGUUUGACUGGGGCGGUCUCCUCCUAAAGAGUAACGGAGGAGCACGAAGGUUGGCUAAUCCUGGUCGGACAUCAGGAGGUUAGUGCAAUGGCAUAAGCCAGCUUGACUGCGAGCGUGACGGCGCGAGCAGGUGCGAAAGCAGGUCAUAGUGAUCCGGUGGUUCUGAAUGGAAGGGCCAUCGCUCAACGGAUAAAAGGUACUCCGGGGAUAACAGGCUGAUACCGCCCAAGAGUUCAUAUCGACGGCGGUGUUUGGCACCUCGAUGUCGGCUCAUCA